UUUUCAUUUCAAAUUCAAUUUUCGAACAAGAAACAUCCCAAAAAAAGUUUUCCGGAAAAAAAUCACAAAAAUUUGGUGACCUACACCUUAAUAAUAAAAAAAAGUUUUAAAUUCAUUGUGAGCUUGCAAGGAAACGCUGCCCUGUUAAACGACGCAUAAUUUCACCGAUUAUUUUCUCCAAUCGUUAAGAAAAAUAACUUGCAAACAACAAAAUGUGUGCUGACAGUUGCUGCUUGUCCUCCCAUCACGGAUGUUCCUACCUGUGUCCAAGCGAGGUUAAACGGAAAGUACAGUUCCAGCAGGAUUGUAAGGAGCGUGAACUACGCGGUGGAAAUCUCUACAGAGGGUGUGACUGCUUUCGACGAAAUGGUCUACAAAACGAUUGCCCAAGAAUCGAAUGUCAAUACGUGAAAUCCACCUGCUUGAAAUUGCCGAAUCCUGCCUGUUGUCCAUCUAAGAACGUAUUGAAGUACGUCAAAAUGACGCACGGUCACAGAAAGAUUGCGAGCGGAAAAUUUUCAGUUAAUUUAUAAUGUUUACUGUCGCCUGUUGCCUAUAACACGCGUCAAUGAGAAAUAAAUGGAAGUCGACAACAAUCGUUAUAACCUU